rnacentral:tRNA from 1 species
CUUGUGGUUAUAAGGUGUGAUUUGAAAUCAUAUUAAUUGCUUUUAGUAGCAACACUAGUUU